rnacentral:rRNA from 1 species
UACAUAGGGUGCAAGCGUUGUCCGGAAUUAUUGGGCGUAAAGAGCUCGUAGGUGGUUUGUCACGUCGGAUGUGAAACUCUGGGGCUUAACCCCAGACCUGCAUUCGAUACGGGUGAGCUUGAGUAUGGUAGGGGAGACUGGAAUUCCUGGUGUAGCGGUGGAAUGCGCAGAUAUCAGGAGGAACACCAAUGGCGAAGGCAGGACUCUGGGCCAUUACUGACACUGAGGAGCGAAAGCGUGGGGAGCGAACAGGAUUAGAUGCCCUGGUACUCCACGCCGUAAACGGUGGGCACUAGUUGUGGGGACCUUCCACGGUCUCUGCGACGCAGCUAACGCAUUAAGUGCCCCGCCUGGGGAGUACGAUCGCAAGAUUA